rnacentral:rRNA from 1 species
GCUCCGGCGGCAUAGGAUGGGCCUGCGGCGUAUCAGGUUGUAGGGGGUGUAAUGGACCCCCUAGCCAUCGACGCGUACGGGUGUUGGGAGACAUAGCCCGGAGACGGAUUCUGAGACACGAAUCCGGACCCUACGGGGUGCAGCAGGCGCGAAAACUUCACACUGCAGGAAACUGUGAUGAGGGAACUCCAAGUGGAUGCACAUAGUGUAUCUCUUUUCUUUACUAUUAAUCGGUAUUGGAAUAAGGGCUGGGAAAGACCGGUGCCAGCCGCCGCGGUAAUACCGGCAGCUCGAGUGGUCGUCGCUUUUAUUGGGCCUAAAACGUCCGUAGCCGGUUUGGUAAAUCUGUGGGUAAAUCAACUAGCUUAACUAGUUGAAUUCUGCAGAGACUGCCAGACUAGGAACCGGGAGAGGUGUGGGGUACUCAAGGGGUAGGGGUAAAAUCCUGUCAUCCUGAGCGGACCACCUGUUGCGAAGGCGCCACACUAGAACGGAUCCGACGGUCAGGGACGAAGCCUAGGGGCACGAACCGGAUUAGAUACCCGGGUAGUCCUAGGUGUAAACGCUGUGGACUUGAUGUUGGGAGUGCUCCGAGCACCCUCAGUGUCGAAGCGAAGGUGAUAAGUCCACUGCCUGGGGAGUACGGUCGCAAGGCUGAAACUUAAAGGAAUUGGCGGGGGAGCACUGCAACGCGAGGAGCGUGCGGUUUAAUUGGAUUCAACGCCGGAAAACUCACCAUGGCCGACUGUUAGAUGAAGAUCAGCGUAAUGAGCUUAUCGGAUUUUCAGAGAGGUGGUGCAUGGCCGUCGUCAGUUCGUACUGUAAAGCGUUCUGUUAAGUCAGAUAACGAACGAGACCCUCAUCUCUAUUUGCUACCCUUCUCUCCGGAGGAGGCGCACUAUAGGGAGA